UUGUGUGCUUAUGGAAAAUGUGUCAAAUUGUAGGGUGUGCGUGCUGUUUCGAAAUUCUACGGAGUCCUUUAUAUUUUUGCCGGCGCACUUUUCCACGUGCUUUUGGCGGGGAUUUCCAAAGCGAAAUUUCUCUUUGGUCACUCACUUGAUGUGAUAGACUUGAUGGAUCGAUGGGAGCCGCUUCCCGACGCAGGGGUUUUCCUUAUCUCGGUUCUCUUUCUCCUCUGCUCCGAGCUCGGAGAGUGCCUGUAACAUUGUUUUCCACCUGCCCUGUCGGUUGCAAACUGUUACAGCAUAAACACCGGGCAGAGGUGAAGGUUCUGGUGGUCUCUCAGAAUCCGGUCUCAGGAGAUGAUAAUUUGAAAAAAAUCCGGUGACAUUGGAGUGGGACAAUGAUUUAAGAUGCGGCGAGGAGAAAACGGUGCGUUUUAGAGCCAUCCCACGCUAGUGCGGCGGCGUGGAGCUCCAGGAGGCGUCUCUGCAGCCGCCUUGGACUUGAGCGCUCAGAUCGAGGGAGCGUAGCUGCAGGAAAGGCGUGGGUUUUCACUUCCAGCACCGGGAGCAAGCCGGGCUUCUAGAGGGUCGCCGCCGGCUGGGGUCGGAGCCGUACAGUUAGCGCCUGAUUGCUGCAGUUGAAAUUCAGACAACAACCCCGAAGUCGCCGCCUCCUUCGGGGACUGCUGGGGUCUCUGGUGGGCGUGAAUCAGACUGUAAGUGGCCGGUCACCGCAGUUCGAUGCGUCCUAGGAUCGCCGCCCUUUCUCUUCUGCACCGUCCUUUCCUUUCAGAUCGUGUCUUACGACCCUUAAAGUGCUUAAAAUAUGCUGGUGUCCCGCAGGAAACGCCGCUUUCUGCCACGCAGGCCGAACGGAUUGUGAAUGGGUAGGUGGCAAAGUGUCGCACGGGGAAAGCCCUGACAGUGGUCGGUUGGGUUCAAUCAGUGUCUACCCAGAGCCUCCCCGGGGGACCGAGGACUUCCGGACCGUGGAACUCCGGGCUUCAGCAGCUGCUGGGCUCCGGCAGAGAGCGCGCCGCAGCAAUCUGCCUGCACGCGGAUUGGAGAAAAGCGGGAUGGAGACGCUAAACGAAUGCCAUGUCACACGCCACGCUUUCAGGGUGCAGUUGACGGCUGCAGACAUUCAAGCCCUUAAAAGGAGCAUUUAAACUUGGGAGGAGUACGGAUGGAACUCAGAGGCACACCAGUUAGUGUGCACAACGUGCGCGGGAACUUUGCGGGCAGAGCUCACAGGAACUGUGAGGUGGCCCGACGCCCAUCGCUCCUGACAUCUCCAGACUGGCUAUGCCGGGCACCCAGAGUCAUUUUUCCGACGGAUGUAAACGCAUCUUGGCGCUCCCAGAGUCCCUACUUGCGCGUCGCCUGCGCAAACUCUCUGCGGUGUGGCCUUGUAUCUUUAGGUAGGGGGGACAUCUUUUGUCUCUCGGCAAGAAGCUUUCCUCCAGGGAAGAUAAAGUAAUCGAUAGGGUCUUUUAAAUAGCUCCGAGUUUCCUGUCGGGCCAGGAGUAUCAGCGCGCACACCAAAUCUGCUCUGGCUUCACCUCCUAGAAGACAGAAGAAGGAGUGUCAGUAGAAGCAAUUUCCAGAAAGCAAAGCAAAUAGAGAAAGAGGAAGGCUCCUGGAAUCAGGCUUGAAGAAGGAAAGAGGUCUCGGAAGACAUUCAAGGGAAAGACCUCUGGAAAUGACAGGCAGAAAUGAUUUGCGGGGACUAUGGCUGCUUGUUCUUCCCGAACAUUGAUGUUCUCAUCUGUAAAAUGAGACGAUAGCCUCACUUUCUCAAAGGAGUAGUAACACAGGAGCAGAGUUGUCCCUGUGUAUUCUCGCCAGUGACGGUGAGAAAAGCACGGAGGCUCGCUGCAGGAUAGCAGACCCCAGGUGAUCUGUCUUGCUACUUGGACAUUUGUCUUCAUUUGACCUCAGUGUGUGCUUCUCUUUCCCUUCUCCAGAGCUCCAAACAGCAGGGCACCACAGGAAAGUCGUCAGAGGCCCCUUUGCACCUUUGUGCCGAUCUUUCAUUUUUAUGAUUAAUUUCAUUUUGAAUUAUGUGUGCACAUGCGUGUAGGGGGCACAGGAGCACACAGAAGAGGGUGUUGGAUUCCCUGCAGCUGGAGUUACAGGUGGUUGUGGGCUGCUUGGAUGUAGGUGCUCUAAACCACUGAGCCAUCUCCCCACACUCUUCUUUAGAAUUCCGGAGUGGUGCCUGUGAGGGUCUGUGAGGGCUUUGGGCUGAAUAGAGCCAGAGGAGCAGAUGAGGGAUCAGGAGCCAGCCAUUUUGUCUCGACAACACAGCUGAGUCCUUGGCAUCAGAGGGUGGAUACCUCUGCUCAGUUGACACAGUUCUGGGUAUGUUUCCGGGACUCAGGAAAUGCUGCUGACUGACGCCAGGAGCUCAACAGACUCAACAGCAGGGCCUGUUCCUGCAGGUCACACAGCAAGGGAACCCUGGGGCCUGAACCAGCUUGGGCCCCAAUCCCCUUUCCCCCAGCCCCAGUCUCUUGGAUAGCCAGGCUGUGAAAGUGUGUGUGUGUGUGUUUCUGAUUUAGGCUUCCAUCCGUGCAUCUUCCUACACUGCUCCUGUCUUUCCUAGGGCCUCAGAGAAGAGACAAGGGAGACUGUGCUAUUGUACCCAGGGCUCGGACUGCAUAAGAGGAAGAUGUAACUUGGCAGUAUUCUAGCGACUGAGCUGCCUCUUGCUUUUUCUGCUUCAGCAUUCCCGGUCUGGGUCCUCAUAGCAUCUCCUCCUGAUUCCCUGUUUCAGACGGAGAGCCGGGUGUGCCUGGGUCGGGCCUGGUUGUGUUUGGAAGGAAGAAGGAAAGGAUGCAUUUGGAGAUCUCUGCAUAAUCCCGAAUGGAUUAUGGAUUAUAUGACAAGGUUUCUCUGUGUAGCCCAGGCUGUCCUGACACUUGAUCUGUAGACCAGGCUGGUCCAUUUGUCUCUGCUGGGAUUAAAGAAGUGCACCACUACUUCCCAGGCAUGCUCCCACCUGUCACCACGUGAGUCCAGUCGCUGACGUGUAAUUUUGUCACCUUUUCUGAUGGGCUAACCCCAAACAGACUGGACACUAGCUCCUCUUUGAUGCUUGCCACAAACAAUGCCACAGCAUCCCAGGCAGGAGAGUCUUUACACUUCUAGAGGUCGUCAAAGGCGAUUCCAGAAAGCAACGGGCUCCCCGAUGAAAAGGCCAUGGUCCUUGUCUUAGGGAAUCUGCCGGGCCCGGCUCUGACAGUUCUCAGCUGCUCCAUAAAUCUUCCAUCAGUUUCAUCCGGCCAAAGAGAUGUCAUCACCGUUUUCUCCCAGCGACAAGGAAGAAAAGGUCAGUGAGUCCUCCAGUCCCGCCCAAGACAAAGGAGACAAGCAGGAACGUUUCCAAUAGGAGGCGCAGGGCCGUUUGUGCAGAAACCAUUGGUGCUUAGAUGCUGGGGUACACGUGAGGAUGAUGCCUGCGCUGGGCACGAGUGCUUGGGACUCCCCCACAUUUAACAGACAGAACCUCAGAAGCCUGAAGUUAGAAAAAAUAGCCAUCAUCCCAUCCCCUUGGACUCAAUAAUUCACUUAUUGUCUUAAGGCAAUAGAGUCUGUAUUGUAAAUAGUAAAUUUUUAUGCAGCAUCUCAAUACAUUAACCCAGAAAUACCAAGGAUGGGAGAGGCUCAGGACUCCUCCGAACUCCUGCCAACCUGUCUUUAAACUCUCUGCCCAGUGUGUCUCUGCCAGGGCAUCCCUGACACUGGCUGCUGCUCACAUCCCCCCUCCCGCCCUCAGGAAUCAUCCGCAUAUGAUAAAAACCUGUGGCCAAUCCAUACCUCAUCUGGAGAUAGGGAAGAUUUAAUGUUGCUGAGACACGUUGAUUGGUUGUGUGGUUUGUUAGAAGUCAAAUUCAUCUUGUUUGCACAGAACAUACACACGGAGGGGCCGGCACCCCUUCUGUCUUGGAGCUUGGGAGCCAGUUGUUUUCCAGUCUGAUGCAUCCAUGAUACUCAGGGGCAGCCUGGGGCUUUCAUGCUCCCUCAUGGAGCACCAACUGGGAGAGGGUGGCUUCACUGUGCAGGGGGCCCAGGGUGGAAGCUGUUUCAGUAAUCUGUAUAAACGACAACGAUGACAACAUCCACGAUAAAGCCUAAACACACAAAGGAACCAUCGAGGCACGGGACUCCGGCAGCUGGGGGAAUACGUGCCUAUCUGCCUCGUUCAUACUAUAAACGCAGAAGGGCAAGGCAGUCUAGAAGACAGGGCAAUUGCCCACAGUGGUUCGGGUAGAUCAUACUUCCGAAUUGUGGUAUAAAUCUAAGUUCUGGGAUGAGGAUCAAAAUGACCCGAUCGGGCUCUGCUGGUGCAGCCGGCGCAUUGCAUGCCGGAGCUCAGCAUCCACAGAGUCAACCAGGUUGGAAAUAUUUGGAAAAACUCUUGUCUGUACUAAACUUGUACAGGUUUUUUUUUUCUUUUAAAUCAUGAUUAUCUAAACAAUACAGUACGACAGGUAUUUACAGAGCACUUGACCCAUACUAAACACUGCAGACCCUCUACAGAAGGGUUAGAUUGUAUGGGGGAUGUGCCUGGGUGCUAUAUAAAUACCCCACUAUUUUAUAGAAGAGACCUGAACACUCCUGGGUUUAUAAAGAGGAAGGACGGUUGGAACCAAUCCUCCUUAGUUUGGAACACACACACACACACACACACACACACACACACACACACACACACGGCUGGGAGGACAGCUCAGUUGGGAAAAGUGCUUGCCUUGGGAGCCUGAGGAUCUGAGUUCAAUCCCCUGUGUGUAUGUUGGGGGGCGGCGAAGCUGGGCAUGAUGACAUGUGUUUGUAAUCCAGCGGCUGGGGAGUCUGGAAUCCCUGGGCCUCACUGACUGGCCAGCCUAGUCUACUUAGCAAGCUCCAGACAGUGAAAAACCCUUUCUCAUAAAGCGAGAUAGGGACUGGGGAGGUGGCUCCGUUCUUCCAGAGGACCCAGGUUUGAUUCCUGGGAUCUACACAGCAGCUCACAAACAUCCAUAACUCCAGUUUUAGGGGUUCUGACAACCUCUUUUGCCCUCUAUGGGCACCAAGCAUGCAUGAGGUACACAGACAUACGUGCAGGCAAAGCACUCAUACAGGUUAAGUAAAUUCUUUUUUUUUUUUUAAGCAAUGUAGAUGGAGCCUGAGGAAUGACAAUAGAAGUUGUCCUCUUGUCUUCUCAUGCACACACACGUGAACACACACACACACACAUGUGAACACGUGCAUACACUCACAGUCUCCUCAAACCAUUUAUUUUACUUAAUAUUAUUUUUCCAUGUAAUAUUUCUACACCAAAACUCAAGCCAAAGCUGUUGUCUGAUUUCUCCAGUCCAGCUCCCUAGGAGGCCUGGCUGCCCUACCUGGUUUGUGCUAACGUUCACCCUCCUCAUGUGCAGACCCACUGGGCAGUAGCUAUGGCUGAGCUCCUGUCUACUUGCUGAGCCUUGGCCCAUUUCUAUGGCAUGUAAGAACCAUUCCUGUUGAACUCUGUUGUUGAGAAGUUCUGACCUCAGGUGAAUGGCCAGGGAUCCAGACAGAGGAAGGGAGUAGGAGGGAGGGAUGUGUUGGCCUCCACUAGCACUUAAGCCAAUGACCUGGGCUUGUCUGAUCGAGUUGCCCACAGUAGGCCAGUGGUUCUCAAAUGCACGUUUGGAGGGAUGUUCACACACACAGAAUGAUGUCUUCCCUCUGCCACGUUUCUUUGUCAGUUGCCUGGGUAGGGCCCGAGUCAUGGUGAACGUUUUUAAUUUCAACGAGGGCCUUGCUAUAUACCCCAGGUUGGCCUAGAACGUAUUACGUAGCCCAGGUUGGCCCUUGAACUUGAACAUCUUCUGCCUCUGUCUCUCAAGGGUGUGUGAUCUUGUGACUUGUUUCUGUCAAUAGAAUGUGAUGAGUCGCUCUGCUCUCUGUAGGUCCUGGAUUUCAGCCCCUUGUCUUUCUGUCUGAGGCCUUGCUGUAGUCAGUUUAACUUCCUGGAGUACAGAGCAGGUGGAGGGGGACCACAGGCCCAGCCACUGCCAGCACUGAUUAUCGGAUGCCUGAGUGACAACACCUGGAACAUUCCAGAACCAGUUGAUCAGCGAGUUCAGGUUUUGUCAACUGAGACACUACUGACCUUUGGGACCAGGUGAUUCUUUGUUGUGGGGGCUAUAAGUUAUGCAUCACCUGUGGCCUCUCUCCAGUGGAAACCAGCAGUACCCAUCAACGUCUUUAGGCAUCGCAAGCAAACCUGGUUGCUGAGCAGGUUUCACCCGUGGUUGAGAACCCAUGCCCGAGUGGAAUGCAGCCGAACAAUGAGCCCUGGUAACCACCAGAAGGAACCGUGCAGCCCCAAACUCUGGAAGUCACUGGGUUUUGGGGUGGUCCCUGUGGGGGAUAACUAAGAGCCUUUCAUCACUUUUCUCUGAUUUCUUUCCUUGGCAUCACGCAUUAAGAAUAUUAAAGGAUGGUUUAAAAAAGCCGAGUUUUGAAAUGUUCCAGAAUCCAAAACUGUUAGAGUACAGUCAGGCUGUCCAAACAUUAUUCUGUCCUGUUACAUGCAAGUCAUGUGAUUCUUGGUAAAUCAGAACCUGUCUGGUCCUCACUUUCUUCAUUUAUAAGAUGAAGAAAGUACUAUCUUUUAAAAAGAGAAAUUCUAUUUACAUUUAUUUAUUGUAUGUGUGUGAGUGUUUUUCCUGUAUGU